rnacentral:misc_RNA from 1 species
GAUGAAGAACGUAGUGAAAUGCGAUAAGUAAUGCGAAUUGCAGAAUCCGUGAGUCAUCGAAUCUUUGAACGCACAUUGCGCCCUCUGGUAUUCCGGAGGGCAUGCCUGUUCGAGCGUCAUUAUCACCCCUCAAGCCCGGCUUGUUGUUGGAUGCAGCACUUAUCCCGCUCCUCCCAAAGAUAAUGACGGCGUCUGCGACGACUCCUGUACACUGAGCUUUCGGGCACGUACACGGCUAGAAGUCCAGCCCCGGUCGCCGUCCCCCCCGCGGGGACACCCAUUACCACAAGGUUGACCUCGGAUCAGGUAGGAAUACCCGCUGAACUUAAGCAUAUCAAUAAGCGGAGGA